rnacentral:rRNA from 1 species
AGCAGUAGCCGCGGUAAUACGUAGGUGGCAAGCGUUGUCCGGAGUUAUUGGGCGUAAAGGGCUCGCAGGCGGUUUCUUAAGUCUGAUGUGAAAGCCCCCGGCUCAACCGGGGAGGGUCAUUGGAAACUGGGAAACUUGAGUGCAGAAGAGGAGAGUGGAAUUCCACGUGUAGCGGUGAAAUGCGUAGAGAUGUGGAGGAACACCAGUGGCGAAGGCGACUCUCUGGUCUGUAACUGACGCUGAGGAGCGAAAGCGUGGGGAGCGAACAGGAUUAGAUACCCCCGUAGUCCCUGUCUCUUAUAA